AGAAAUUUUAUUUUGGCCAGGAGCUGAAGUUGGUUGUUUAGUAGUAGUAGUUUGAGUAGUGACCGAAGUAGUAGUCUGGUGUGGUAAUUGGGGCAGCUGUGGUCUCUUGUGGAGCUGGGGAAGACGGUGGAGCUGGUGUAGUUGCAGAAGGUGUGGGUGGGGCAGCUGUGGUCUCUGGUGGAGCUGAGGAAGAUGGUGGAGCUGGUGUAGUUGCAGAAGGUGUGGGUGGGGCAGCUGUGGUGUCUUGUGGAGCUGGGGAAUUCACUGGUGCUAAUGUAGCUACAGAAGAGCUUGUGUUAACAUUUUCUCUUGAAGAUAUGGUGGUGGCAUUCUGGGGAAGAAAAGUCACAUUUGGAAGGGUAGUAAUUUUGGUGGCUGGUGGAAGCUUAGGCCUACAGCGUUUGUGCAGACAUUUAUAGGACUUUCUAAUGAACGGCUUCUGGUGAGCUAGCAG
rnacentral:lncRNA from 1 species